rnacentral:rRNA from 1 species
UACGUAGGGUCCGAGCGUUGUCCGGAAUUACUGGGCGUAAAGAGCUCGUAGGUGGUUUGUCGCGUUGUUCGUGAAAACUCACAGCUCAACUGUGGGCGUGCGGGCGAUACGGGCAGACUGGAGUACUGCAGGGGAGACUGGAAUUCCUGGUGUAGCGGUGGAAUGCGCAGAUAUCAGGAGGAACACCGGUGGUGAAGGCGGGUUUCUGGGCAGUAACUGACGCUGAGGAGCGAAAGCGUGGGGAGCGAACAGG